rnacentral:rRNA from 1 species
GCCAGACUCCUACGGGAGGCAGCAGUAGGGAAUUUUGCGCAAUGGGGGAAACCCUGACGCAGCAACGCCGCGUGAUUGAUGAAGCCCUUCGGGGUGUAAAGAUCUGUCAGUGGGGACGAAACUUGACGGUACCCACAGAGGAAGCAUCGGCUAACUACGUGCCAGCAGCCGCGGUAAUACGUAGGGGGCGAGCGUUAUCCGGAAUUACUGGGUGUAAAGGGAGCGUAGACGGUGAUGCAAGUCUGGAGUGAAAGGCGGGGGCCCAACCCCCGGACUGCUCUGGAAACUGUGUAACUUGAGUGCAGGAGAGGUAAGCGGAAUUCCUAGUGUAGCGGUGAAAUGCGUAGAUAUUAGGAGGAACACCAGUGGCGAAGGCGGCUUACUGGACUGUAACUGACGUUGAGGCUCGAAAGCGUGGGGAGCAAACAGGAUUAGAUACCCCAGUAAUG